rnacentral:tmRNA from 1 species
GGGGGCGAUUGGUCUCGACAGCGGCUGUCGAGUGAGAAGAAGCGGGCCGAGGAAGGCGACGAUGAUCUCGUUAACCAUCUGUCGCAAAACAAUUAAGCGCCGACAACAGUCAGCGCGAGUUCGCCCUCGCCGCUUAAGCGAGUAGCGACUCCGUCAGACCGGGAGUGCCUCUGGCCCGGAUCCUGGCGCCGACAAAGAGGAUCACCACCCGAGCCGGCCACGGACUCGGGUGGGACAACCAACAGUGGCUGGGCCUGUCACAUCGGCUAGUUCGCGUGACCGAUGGGGCCGAGUAGAGACCUAGCGGACUGCGCCCGGAGAAGGACUCACAACACACCGUUGGACGCGGGUUCGAUUCCCGCCGCCUCCACAA